GACGAACGCUGGCGGCGUGCUUAACACAUGCAAGUCGAACGGAAAGGCCCUGCUUUUGUGGGGUGCUCGAGUGGCGAACGGGUGAGUAACACGUGAGUAACCUGCCCUUGACUUUGGGAUAACUUCAGGAAACUGGGGCUAAUACCGGAUAGGAGCUCCUGCUGCAUGGUGGGGGUUGGAAAGUUUCGGCGGUUGGGGAUGGACUCGCGGCUUAUCAGCUUGUUGGUGGGGUAGUGGCUUACCAAGGCUUUGACGGGUAGCCGGCCUGGGAGGGUGACCGGCGACAUGAGGACUAAGAGACGGAGCAGACUCGUACGGGAGGCAGCAGUGGGGAAUAUUGCACAGUGGGCGGAAGCCUGAUGCAGCAGCGCCGCGUGCGGGAUGACGGCCUUCGGGUUGUAAACCGCUUUCGCCUGUGACGAAGCGUGAGUGACGGUAAUGGGUAAAGAAGCACCGGCUAACUACGUG
rnacentral:rRNA from 1 species